rnacentral:lncRNA from 1 species
AGCUUAAAUGAACUUGUUAAUAAAAUGUGAAAACUAGUUGUCUUGUAUAUUGUAUCACUUGCAUCAUGCCAUUGGUGCAUUGCCAUUUGAACCUGGAAAGUACUUAGACUUAUAGUACAUGAAAUAAACACAAACCUGAAACCAUGCACAGUAGCAGCAAGAUUCAAGACAGAAAUGAGUCUUUGCUGUUUCCGUUCUUUUCUAUUUAUCUGAUAUUCUUUUUGAUCUUUCUCCAUGACCAUGUGUUACUAGUAAGUUCCCUUCAUUCUACCAGCGGUGUUAGUUGAUAUAGCCUAAGCCGGGCUAAGGAUGCUCAAUUGGUGACGAGUUCCAUUUCAACGCACAUUAACGCUUCGUAGCCAACAGUGACGUGACUAAAAUAAAAUAGGAUAAAAUUGUGCCUCGAGUUCAAUCGAUUGCUUCGUGUGCACUCAAUCAAAAUUUGGGUCUUUAAAAUUCUAAAAACAUUCUGAGUGGCGUAAAGAUCAGCGCCUGUAAGUAUAUAUUAACUGCAUCAGUUUGCCAUAGCCUAAUUUCUGUAUAAUGCCAGACUAUUUC